GACGGCCUUCGGGUUGUAAACCUCUUUCAGUAGGGAAGAAGCGCAAGUGACGGUACCUGCAGAAGAAGCGCCGGCUAACUACGUGCCAGCAGCCGCGGUAAUACGUAGGGCGCAAGCGUUGUCCGGAAUUAUUGGGCGUAAAGAGCUCGUAGGCGGUUUGUCGCGUCCGCUGUGAAAGCCCGGGGCUCAACCCCGGGUCGGCAGUGGGUACGGGCAGACUAGAGUGCAGUAGGGGAGACUGGAAUUCCUGGUGUAGCGGUGAAAUGCGCAGAUAUCAGGAGGAACACCGAUGGCGAAGGCAGGUCUCUGGGCUGUUACUGACGCUGAGGAGCGAAAGCAUGGGGAGCGAACAGGAUUAGAUACCCUGGUAGUCCAUGCCGUAAACGUUGGGCACUAGGUGUGGGGGACAUUCCACGUCCUCCGCGCCGUAGCUAACGCAUUAAGUGCCCCGCCUGGGGAGUACGGCCGCAAGGCUAAAACUCAAAG
rnacentral:rRNA from 1 species